CGCGGGGGCUCCUUCUCUGCUUUGUGUCCAGGUGGCGAGGCCGAGGGGCGGCCAUGGGGGUGCAGGACCGGCCCCAGUGCUUCUUCGAGAUAGAGAUCAACAGGGAGCCAGUUGGUCGAAUUAUGUUUCAGCUCUUCUCAGACAUUUGUCCAAAGACUUGUAAGAACUUCCUUUGCUUGUGCUCGGGU